GCCUCGGACGAGCUCAUCUAGUUUUUCAUUCCGAGCUGCAGUUUUCCUGCCCUUGUCGACCGAAGAGACCAGGAGCUCGUACACUACUUCACGACAGACCUUUACGGCACCACUCCGCGCCUCUGUUUGUAAACACUUGCCGUCGUCUGCGCAGCCGAAGAGCUGUGAAACACAGAUCCUAAUGAUUCUUUUCCGCUCUACUGCAAGGAGACUGGUUUCUCACGUGUGUGGCGGAACACAAGACUCUCUAGCGAGACAGAGGUGCUUCACAGACAUGGCCCGCCCUAGUUCAGAUAUGGCUGAAUUCCGACAGGUGUUUUCCAAAGCCAAGCACAUAGCAAUUAUUACGGGUGCAGGGGUCAGUGCAGAAAGUGGGGUCCCUACUUUCAGGGGCGCUGGAGGAUACUGGAGGCGGUGGCAGGCGCAGGUAGGACACAGCAGUGCCUGGUCACA